AUUGAACGCUGGCGGCAGGCUUAACACAUGCAAGUCGAGCGGAGAUGAGGUGCUUGCACCUUAUCUUAGCGGCGGACGGGUGAGUAAUGCUUAGGAAUCUGCCUAUUAGCGGGGGACAACAUUCCGAAAGGAAUGCUAAUACCGCAUACGUCCUACGGGAGAAAGCAGGGGACCCUCGGACCUUGCGCUAAUAGAUGAGCCUAAGUCGGAUUAGCUAGUUGGUGGGGUAAAGGCCUACCAAGGCGACGAUCUGUAGCGGGUCUGGGAGGAUGAUCCGCCACACUGGGACUGAGACACGGCCCAGACUCCUACGGGAGGCAGCAGUGGGGAAUAUUGGACAAUGGGCGAAAGCCUGAUCCAGCCAUGCCGCGUGUGUGAAGAAGGCCUUUUGGUUGUAAGGCACUUUAAGCGAGGAGGAGGCUACUUAGAUUAAUACUCUAGGAUAGUGGACGUUACUCGCAGAAUAAGCACCGGCUAACUCUGUGCCAGCCGCCGCCGUAAUAC
rnacentral:rRNA from 1 species